GGCGACAACAGGGGAGGUGAAGCUGUUGGGACUUUGGAGGAGUCCCUACGUGACCAGGGUGGGGAUCGCUUUGAACCUCAAGAAAGUAGGGUACGAGUUCGUGCAGGAGGAGGUACAAGGGCAGAAGAGCGAGAUCCUGCUGAAAUCCAACCCUGUGUACAAGAAGAUCCCCGUCCUCAUCCACCAGGGAAAGCCCGUCUGCGAGUCCGCCAUCAUCGUGGAGUACAUCGACGAGAUUUGGACCAGCGAGCCUCCCAUCCUCUCCUCCCACCCCUUCGACCGCGCCGUCGCUCGCUUUUGGGUCACCUACAUUGAUGACAAGGUUGGUCUCCACGCCUUCCCUUAUGGCAUCCAUUUCAACGUGCUUAAAUAUUGAAUUUGAUGUGGCACUUAAUUCCUUCGUUUUCUGGCAGUUGCUUGCGCUGGUUAGGACUCUCGCUUUCGGAGCAACCGAAGGGACGUCCAAGGCAGAAGUAGCAGACGGAGGGGCAGAAGCUUUUCAGCUGCUGGAAGAGGCUUUCGCCAAGUGCAGCCACGGGAAGGAGUACUUUGGUGGUGACACCAUUGGCUACGUGGAUAUCGCCCUGGGGUGCUGGCUGGGGUGGAUCAAGGCGGUGGAGGAGGUGAGCAACAUCAAGUUCUUGGACGAGAAGAAGGUUCCACUACUGGUGGGAUGGGCGGAGCGCUUCUUGCAGAACGAGGCAGCGAAGGGAACCAUGCUGGAGGCAGACGAAUACGUACAACGUGUUAAAAACCUUUCAGCGUCUGCUCGUUAACAGAAGUCGAUGGUUCUUCGUGAGCGUGAUAGCGAGCUGCUAAAUUUCUGCAAAGGACGUUUAAUUGGCUCCGAGAAUUGCAAUCUGCUUUCUUCUGGCUUGUUAGCAUCAACAGUUCACUGUAACUCGCAAAUAAAAGACAUUUGGUCGAUAACUAUUUCGCUCUCCCAAGCGCAGUUGGGUUUAUGAAUCUUCCUUGAGAAAAGUCUGAAAUAAUAAAGGAAAUGGAACCAUUAUUUUCCUUAUUUUCUUCUUUCUUUCUUGAGCUGGCUUUCUGCUUAUAAUUGAGUUAGUAGAUGGGAUUGUCUAAGACACAUCUUUAUUAGGUGUAGAAAACUAUAUGUAAAUCCAAGUUCUCAAUUUAAAGCAUGAAUCAAUAUUCUCAUAAAUCAAUCUAAAUAUUAGUUUAUUUUCGAUGUAAAAUUAAAUUGAGAUGUUACGAUCACAUAAUCUUUUGCUCAAAAUUUUCUUCUCUUUUGCAGCAGCAACUUUUGAGCCAUACCUUUUACAAAAGUAUUGCAUGACUAAGGCAAAAUCAAUUAAAUCAUUAAUAUCCUUCUUGGUGACACUUGUCUCAGUUGAUCAUGUUGCAUGGAACUGUUACAAAAGUAUCACCUGUCUUCAAAACAUUAUCAUCUUGUAGGAAAGGAGAUGUUCGAUCUUCUCCACCUAGAAGAUUACAGAGAAGUAGGCAGAAAUGAUAGAACUUCCCCUUCGCUCUAAUCCAAUGAUCCAUGAUGGAGUAUCCGUGGCAGAACCCACGGUUGCGGUGUCAAAUCAAACCAGAUUAAAGGCUCGCAGUGGUUUGUCACACCCCUACCGACCUCAGAAUAUAUAUCAUUUCACAGCACAAACUUCCCGAUUUCCAUCCACCCAUAAAUAUUAUAUAUAGGUCAUGACGGCCAGAAAUCAACGACAGGAGUAGAUAGAUUAAAAUAGUCAUCUCGAGUUGAACAUCCGCAUGAAACCGACAAGAUGGAAAUACGGUAGUCAUUCGUAUAUAUGCAUAGCCAUCGCAGUGUUAUUGGCAAUCGGCACAAGCUUGUGCUCUGAUCUAUCGCUGAGGCAAAAUGGCAGCAGCUGCAACAGGGGCGGUGAAGUUGUUGGGGCAUAAGAUGAGCCUCUUCGUGACGAGGGUGGAGAUCGCUUUGAACCUAAAGAAAGUAGGGUAUGAGUUCGUGCAGGUGGAGGUACACGGGCAGAAGAGCGAGAUCCUGGUGAAGUCCAACCCUGUGUACAAGAAGAUCCCCGUCCUCAUCCACCAGGGAAAGCCCAUCUGCGAGUCCGCCAUCAUCGUGGAGUACAUCGACGAGAUGUGGACCAGCGAGCCUCCCAUCCUCCCCUCCCACCACUUCGACCGCGCCGUCGCUCGCUUUUGGACCACCUACAUCGAUGACAAGGUUGAUCUCCACGCCUUCCCUUAUGGCAUCCAUUUCAACGUGCUUUAAGCUUGAAUUUGAUGUGGCACUUAGAUCCUUCGUUUUCUGGCAGUUGCUUUCGCUGCUUAAGGCUCUCGCUUUCGGAGCAGCCGAAGGGUCCUCGAAGGCAGAAACAGUAGACCGAGUGGCAGAAGUGCUUCAACUGCUGGAAGAGGCUUUCGCCGAGUGCAGCCACGGGAAGGACUACUUUGGUGGUGACACCAUCGGCUACGUGGAUAUCGCCCUGGGGAGCUGCUUGAGAUGGAUGAAGACGGUGGAAGAGAUAAAGAACGUCAGGCUUUUGGACGAGAAGAAGGUGCCGCUGUUGGUGGAUUGGGCGGAGCGCUUCUUGCAGGACAAGGCUGUGAAGGAAGUCACGCCGGAGAUUGACGAAUUCCGACAAUAUGCUAAAAUGAUUUUAGCAUCUGCUCGUUAAAAUUCUAUAUGACUUGGGUUUCAGUUUGUGAUCAUUCUGCGUGAGAUUUGGGUUUAUGUUUUGUGAUCGUUGCACUAUGUUUUCUGCUGGUUUGUAGGAAUUGCGCUAUGUUGUUGGCGUCCGUGUUAUUUAACCAAAUAAGUUAUUGCCAUAUGGAUGAUUUUGACUAAAUGAAAUAUUAUAUUGCAUGGCGACCAGAAAUUAACACGAAAAGAAGAGAAUGGACAGAUUAAAGUCGCCAUCCUCGAGUUGAAUGUCAAACAUUUCUUGGCGUAUACGCAACGACAAUAUCCUUGGAAUAUAUACAUAUAUAUAUUUUGGACCAACACAGGCUUGUCCUCCAGUCUAUGACGGGAGCAGAUGGCAGCAGCGUUGGACCUUCGCCCCUUCGUCAUGAGGGUGGAGAUCGCUUUGAAGCUAAAGAAAGCAGCGUACGAGUUCGAAGAGGUGGAAAUACUUGGGCAGAAGAGCGAGAUCGAUAGAAGAUCGGAGAUAAAUAUGAAAUCAUAAUUUUAUAUUUUUAUAUAUUUCAUUUUUUAAUUAAUUUAUAAUUUGAUUGAGUAAUAUAGAUUUAAAUUAAUUAUAGAUUUAAAUGUAUGAUUUGAUUGAGUAAUCUUAGUGAUUGAUGGGGAGUAAUAUCUCCCUUCAAACCUAUAUAAAUAUAUAUUACUCUAACGAAUGAAAUCAAUCACUUUCACAAUAAAUUUCUUACUUUUUUAUGUUAUCAAAAUUACUCGUUUUUCUCUCCUCUCUCUUCUUUUACCUGUUCUUUAUUGUGCUCGGAGAUCGAGUCUUCAUGUCCAUGUUCACAAUGAGCAGUUAUUGUCAUCUCCUCUGUCCCCUUCUCACAUCACAUGCAUACCGCAAACAGUGAUCCCUUGUUGAUCUGCAAUCAAAAGGUGGGCCGCAACCAUCCUCCCCUCUUGCUCUAAUGAAUCCUCCCUUGGUGCUUGGUGCAUGGUGCCAAUUACUUAUUCAACGAUAAAUAGUGCAGCAUCCAAUCAUAUCUGACAUAUAUGUCAUUUUCUUUCAUUUAUUAUUUCCUCGUGAAACAAUAGUUCAUCCCAAUAUAUAAGACUCAUGUAACUACUUUAACCCCUUUCAAAUUUUUCAAAAAUGAUAAUUAUGUAUCUUGACUAGCAUAAUUCACUAAUAUCUUCUUUGGAUAUGAUCUAUUAGAGUACAUCGACAGCUCUCUUAGUUAUAUAUCAGAAAAGAUCCAAAUACUUAAAAAAACUCAUCAUAAUGAUAAAUUCUGAUAACAAGUUAUGACUAUGACAAGAUCAUCCUAUUUUAUAAGUCAUCCAAGCUUUAAUCGUUGGCUCCAUAGCACCACUAAUCUCUUUGUAUAAUACUAUAACAUAAUCAUAGUCCAAGUUAUAAAUCAUCUUCGUCAAUCGCUCUUGCACUUUUAUGCUAAAUCUUUUAUCUACUUUGAUGAAAAUAAUAUGGAAGUACUAUUGCUGAUUAUAUAUAAAAUCUAAAAAAUACUUAAGGAUGACUUGACUUAAUAUGUUAUUUUCUGAGUGAUGAAGAAAUUAUUGUUUAUGUGUUUAAUAGCCUAGGAGAUGAAUAUAAAGAAUUGUCCAUAGCAAUUUGGGCAUAUGACUUAUCAAUGUCAUUUAAAAAACUAUAUUACAAGUUGAUUAAUUAUGAAAGAUAUGUGAUACCAGAAAAGAGGAUGACGAAAUCAAUAAUCACAAUUUAAUUCAAUCAAAAAAAAAAAAAAGAUAAUUAAAGCAACAAAAACUUCAUAAAGAAUUAAAUAAGAUAUCUCAUGGAUAAAUGAUAACACAUGGAGCUAUCAUCCUCUAUUAUACUAUCAAAGCAAUAACUAUGGUAGCAAAUUCAAAUUAAUCAACUCAAUAAAUAAUUUUAACUAUAACUAUUAAUAGUUAUAACAUCCUAAUAACAACAAUCAAUAAAAAAGUCAUCUAUUAACUCUAUGAUAAAAUAGGAUACAUAACAAAAGCUUGUUGGUCUCGACCCAAGUCUAUUGUAAUAUCCAAUUGGCCUCGAGCAAACAUCAUUACUACUCCAAUACUCCAACUGUUCAUCCAAGUAAUUGAAUUGUUGACUCCAGUACCUCUCAUUAUAUAAUUUCUGAUUUAUAAAAAUUCACAAUAACUAUGAAAGUAAUGAAGAUAUCAUUAUCGAUGACGGUAACAGAAUUCAUAUUAUUCAUAUUAGUUUCACAACACUUAAUUCAUACAAAAACAUUUGUACAUCUGAUGAUGUUUUAUGUGCAUCUCAUAUUAAAAGAAACCUUAUUUCUAUUUCUCAAUUCUAAAAUAAAAUAACACAUCUAUUAAGUUCUUUCUUGACUUAUUUUUUAUCAAUAAUCUUAGUAGGGGGCAUCUAUGGUCUAAUAUCAGAAAAAAGAUGACAUCUAUGAGUGAGUGAUCAUCAGCUUCACAAAUCAUCCGAUUAAUCACCCUUACUUCAAUUGUUGCUUCAAUCAAUGUGUGACAUCACCACCUUGGUCAUUCAUCAUCAUCCAUUCAACAAUAUCUAAUUUCUUAUUGCUUCAUUUCAACUUUCAAAUUAAAUUGAAUUACAACUUAUUAUGAUGCUUGUCUUAGUAAUAAAAGACAAACUAUUUUUUAGAAUAACUUUCAUAUCAUGCUUUAAAUCACUUGAAAUUAUUUAUACUAAUGUCUAGGGCUCUAUCUUAACUAUUUAUUUUGAUAAUUUUAGAUUUUAUAUUAUUUUUAUAUAUUACUUUACUAAAUAUAUAUGGUUAUAUUCUCUUAAACAUUUAUCUGAAGUUACCAUUAUUUUUACUCGUUUUAGAAAGGUGAUCGAAAACACCUUCUAGACUACCAUUAAAAUAGUUUACUCUAAUAAAGGAGGUGAAUAUCAAACUCUAAUAAUUUAUAUUCCAGUAUAUUGUAUAUAAUAUCUUAAGUCACCACCAUACACAUCUUAACUAGUUGACUCUACAAAAUGAAAGCAUUAGUUGAAACUAAUUUCACCCUUCUACAUCAAGCCUCAAUGUUACUGACCUUUUGGUCAGUAGUUUUUUAAACUAUAAUUUACCUCAUUAAUUGAAUACUCACCCAAUCCUAUAAUAUCAAUUAUUAUUUAAAAAACUAUUUUAUUAUUUUAUAAAAUCUUAAAUUCAAGCCUUGUAUCUUCAUUGGGUACUCCACUGAACAUAAUAUUUUUCGAUGCUAUGAUUCUCAAAUUCAAAAUAUCUUUGUAUUAUAUCAAAUUAUUUUUGUUAAGUCUUUUUUUUUUUUAAAUCUCACUUUAAUAGUACAAAUCACUGCAAUAACUAUUCAUCAUUAGGUUCAUACGAGUACAUCUCACGUCCCCUAAAGCACACCUCCCACCGCAUCAAUUAAUAAUUCUCUAGACCUAUAUUCCCUUGUUACUCUAGUACAUCUCACAUCCCCUCGAGCACACCUCACCUUAUUACUCCAGUGCAUCUCAUAUCCCCUCAAGUACAUCUCACAUCCCCUCAAGCACACCUCACCCUCUUGAUGACACUUGUCUGUUGCAUGGUACUGUUACAAAAGUAUCACCUGUCUUACAAACAUUAUCAUUUUGUAGGAAAGGAGAUGUUCGAUCUUCUCCACCUACACGAUCACAGAGAAGUAGGCAGAAAUGAUAGAACUUCCCCUUCGCUUUAAUCCAAUAAUCCAUGAUGGAGUAUCCGUGGCAGAACCCACGGUUGCCGUGUCAAAUCAAACCAGAUUAAAGGCUCGCAGUGGUUUGUCACACUCCUACCGACCUCAGAAUAUAUAUCAUUUCACGGUACAAACUUCCGAUUUCCAUCCACCCAUAAAUGUUAUAUAUAGGUCAUGACGGCCAGAAAUCAACGACAGGAGUAGAUAGAUUAAAAUAGUCAUCUCGAGUUGAACAUCCGCAUGAAACCGACAAGAUGGAAAUACGGUAGUCAUUCGUAUAUAUGCAUAGCCAUCGCAGUGUUAUUGGCAAUCGGCACAAGCUUGUGCUCUGAUCUAUCGCUGAGGGAAAAUGGCAGCAGCUGCAACAGGGGAGGUGAAGUUGUUGGGGCAUAAGAUGAGCCUCUUCGUGACGAGGGUGGAGAUCGCUUUGAACCUAAAGAAAGUAGGGUACGAGUUCGUGCAGGUGGAGGUACACGGGCAGAAGAGCGAGAUCCUGGUGAAGUCCAACCCUGUGUACAAGAAGAUCCCCGUCCUCAUCCACCAGGGAAAGCCCAUCUGCGAGUCCGCCAUCAUCGUGGAGUACAUCGACGAGAUGUGGACCAGCGAGCCUCCCAUCCUCCCCUCCCACCACUUCGACCGCGCCGUCGCUCGCUUUUGGGCCACCUACAUCGAUGACAAGGUUGGUCUCCACGCCUUCCCUUAUGGCAUCCAUUUCAACGUGCUUAAAGAUUGAAUUUGAUGUGGCACUUAAUUCCUUCGUUUU
rnacentral:lncRNA from 1 species